ensembl:snoRNA small nucleolar RNA SNORA2/SNORA34 family
CUGGCCCUGAAUCAAGGCCAGCAGCUUCCUGACGCUGUUGGUUUUAACCAGUACCCUAAAGAGAUGUUUUUCUAUGGUCUGUUGGCCAUUUCAGAACUUGGGCAGUGAAAUGGUCAAUUCAUUAGAGAGGAACAGCU